ACACCGCCCGUCACACCAUGGGAGUUGGUCACGCCCGAAGUCGUUACUCUAACUGCUUGCAGAGGAGGACGCCGAAGGUGGGGCUGAUGACUGGGGUGAAGUCGUAACAAGGUAGCCGUACCGGAAGGUGUGGCUGGAUCACCUCCUUA
rnacentral:rRNA from 1 species